GGUGCUUGCAUCUUGAUUUAAUUUUGAACGAGUGGCGGACGGGUGAGUAACACGUGGGUAACCUGCCCUUAAGUGGGGGAUAACAUUUGGAAACAGAUGCUAAUACCGCAUAAAUCCAAGAACCGCAUGGUUCUUGGCUGAAAGAUGGCGUAAGCUAUCGCUUUUGGAUGGACCCGCGGCGUAUUAGCUAGUUGGUGAGGUAACGGCUCACCAAGGCAAUGAUACGUAGCCGAACUGAGAGGUUGAUCGGCCACAUUGGGACUGAGACACGGCCCAAACUCCUACGGGAGGCAGCAGUAGGGAAUCUUCCACAAUGGACGCAAGUCUGAUGGAGCAACGCCGCGUGAGUGAAGAAGGCUUUCGGGUCGUAAAACUCUGUUGUUGGAGAAGAAUGGUCGGCAGAGUAACUGUUGUCGGCGUGACGGUAUCCAACCAGAAAGCCACGGCUAACUACGUGCCAGCAGCCGCGGUAAUACGUAGGUGGCAAGCGUUAUCCGGAUUUAUUGGGCGUAAAGCGAGCGCAGGCGGUUUUUUAAGUCUGAUGUGAAAGCCCUCGGCUUAACCGAGGAAGUGCAUCGGAAACUGGGAAACUUGAGUGCAGAAGAGGACAGUGGAACUCCAUGUGUAGCGGUGAAAUGCGUAGAUAUAUGGAAGAACACCAGUGGCGAAGGCGGCUGUCUGGUCUGUAACUGACGCUGAGGCU
rnacentral:rRNA from 1 species